rnacentral:rRNA from 1 species
AUUGAACGCUGGCGGCAUGCUUUACACAUGCAAGUCGAACGGCAGCGCGGGCUUCGGCCUGGCGGCGAGUGGCGAACGGGUGAGUAAUACAUCGGAACGUGCCCAGUAGUGGGGGAUAGCUCGGCGAAAGCCGGAUUAAUACCGCAUACGACCUGAGGGUGAAAGCGGGGGAUCUUCGGACCUCGCGCUAUUGGAGCGGCCGAUGGCAGAUUAGCUAGUUGGUGGGGUAAAGGCCUACCAAGGCGACGAUCUGUAGCUGGUCUGAGAGGACGACCAGCCACACUGGGACCGAGACACGGCCCAGACUCCUACGGGAGGCAGCAGUGGGGAAUUUUGGACAAAGGGCGAAAGCCUGAUCCAGCAAUGCCGCGUGUGUGAUGAAGGCCUUCGGGUUGUAAAGCACUUUUGGCGGGAACGAAAAGGACUGUGCCAAUACCACGGUUCGAUGACGGUACCCGCAGAAUAAGCACCGGCUAACUACGUG